GCCCCGGUCUUCUAAUUGGAUAAGAAAAUUCUCCACCGAAGAAUGAAAUGCAGGUUCGAAUCCCGCCUGGGGCG
rnacentral:tRNA from 1 species